CCUACGGGGGGCUGCAGUGAGGAAUAUUGGUCAAUGGACGAGAGUCUGAACCAGCCAAGUAGCGUGAAGGAUGACGGCCCUAUGGGUUGUAAACUUCUUUUAUAUGGGAAUAAAACGUUCCACGUGUGGGGUUUUGUAUGUACCAUAUGAAUAAGGAUCGGCUAACUCCGUGCCAGCAGCCGCGGUAAUACGGAGGAUCCGAGCGUUAUCCGGAUUUAUUGGGUUUAAAGGGAGCGUAGGUGGAUUGUUAAGUCUGUUGUGAAAGUUUGCGGCUCAACCGUAAAAUUGCAGUGGAAACUGGCAGUCUUGAGUACAGUGGAGGCGGGCGGAAUUCGUGGUGUAGCGGUGAAAUGCUUAGAUAUCACGAAGAACUCCGAUUGCGAAGGCAGUUCACUGCACUGCAACUGACACUGAGGCUCGAAAGUGUGGGUAUCAAACAGGAUUAGAUACCCCUGUAGUC
rnacentral:rRNA from 1 species